rnacentral:rRNA from 1 species
UACAGAGGGGGCAAGCGUUAUUCGGAAUUAUUGGGCGUAAAGGGCGCGUAGGCGGCCUGGCAAGUGGAAGGUGAAAUCCCUCGGCUUAACCGAGGAACUGCCCUCCAAACUGCUUGGCUUGAGUCCGGGAGAGGUGAGUGGAAUUCCCAGUGUAGCGGUGAAAUUCGUAGAUAUUGGGAAGAACACCGGUGGCGAAGGCGGCUCUCUGGACCGACACUGACGCUGAGGCGCGAAAGCGUGGGGAGCAAACAGG